CUUUUUAUUGUGCAGUUACAAUAAAGAACUUUUAGACAAGGUGAUGGAAAUGGCUGAUGGCAUUGAAGUGGAAGACCUGCCAGAGUUUACUACCAGAAGUGAAUUAAUGAAAAAGCAUCAAAGUUAAGCCAGAAGAUUUAUCACAUUUUCAUCAUCAGCUACAAGAUUAGAAAGGAGGCUGGGAUGAAUGUGACAAGGACUGCAGCAGCUCUCUUAGGACUGCUGGUAUUACCAACAUAGAGGCAGGUGGAAUGAAAAGGAAUCUGUAUAGAUCGGCUUUUGAAAAGUUCUCAUUCUUCCAGUAGCUAUCACUGGAAAAGUACACGUGGAUAUUUAUGUAUUUAUAAAUCAUGCACUGAGAGGAGUUUGUCAACAUUGUAAAGCCUUCUUUUCUAUUUUCAGUUUUUAAAUGUCAAAACUUUGAUUUAAAAUGCCUUUUUUGUUGUUGAUGUAAUAAUGGCAGGUAAUGAAUUUUAUGGUUUGGAUUUUUCAACAAUGUA